rnacentral:rRNA from 1 species
AGCGAACGCUGGCGGCAUGCUUAACACAUGCAAGUCGCACGGGCAGGGGCAACCCUGUCAGUGGCGGACGGGUGAGGAACGCGUAGGAAUCUGUCCUUGGGUGGGGGAUAACCGUGGGAAACUACGGCUAAUACCGCAUAACGAGCUGGGCUGUGGCGGCCCGGUUCUAACGGCGCAAGCCGCCUGAGGAGGAGCCUGCGUCCGAUUACGCUAGUUGGUGGGGUAAUGGCCUAGCAAGGCUGCGAUCGGUAGCUGGGCUGAGAGGAUGAUCCGCCACACUGGGAAUGAGACACGGCCCAGACUCCUACGGGAGGCAGCAGUAGGGAAUAUUGGACAAUGGGCGAAAGCCUGAUCCAGCAAUGCCGCGUGGGUGAAGAAGGUCUUCGGAUUGUAAAGCCCUUUCGGCGGGGACGAUGAUGACGGUACCCGCAGAAGAAGCCCCGGCUAACUUCGUGCCAGCCGCCGCCGUAAAAC